CCUCUUUCUCUCUUUACACAGCCAUGCACACACACAGCGGCGUGACAGUGUGGAGGGUGUGACCUUGCUGUUGGACUAGUGUUGCAGUAAGCCAACACCAGUGCCGUGAUCGCAAGCUGCACUGUUCCAAACCAGAGAUGACAUCACUCCCCCCACCACCACCACCACCACCUCUCUCCAUUUUCUCAAACAAAGCCCGGUCCAAACCCAGGCCUGUAAUUACAGGCCUAAUCUGUGCGCUGCCAGGGGCAGAAUAGAGCUCUGGUCUGGGCCUUCGCCAGCCUUGCAAACAUGUGCUCCGAGUUUAGGCCACAGACAUGGAGUUCAGUGGAGAACGAGGCAUUUUGCUCUUGGGCGUUAAAUGUUCGUCACUGCCAUCUAAGACCCCAUCUCCAACCCCCCCAAGAGCCACCGAAACGUUCGCACAUGAUCGCCUGGGGGUUUCCCUGUUUAUUGUUAUUUUGUUCUUGAGGUUAAAGCUAUGAGUUGUUGCCAGGAAAUAUGAAUAAAAGUCAGUGGAACUCAUAAAAUAACAACGGUAAAGAGGUUUUCAUGGAAUUUAAUGUGGAAGAUCGCUUUGAUAUAAAGUGGAACAAUUUUCAUGGCUGAAAUUGUCAGCUUUUAAUGAGAGUGGUAAAUCAGGCAUCUACUACACUCUUUUCACAGUGAGGAUGGAUGGCUAUGCUAUGACCACCUCCAGCUAGUCUGAUAGAAAC